GGGGGGGAGAGUGGAUAAACAUGGGGAAAUAGCUAAAAUCUAAUGUUUCCAUUUUAACACACACUUCUCAUUCCCUGAAGUUUUAUAGUUUUAAGGAGAUUGGUGUGGUGGCAGCAGGGGCUCUUUAACCAAUAAGAGGAGAGCCUAAAAGAAGUGAAAAUAAAAGGAGAAAUGUCUUCUGAGGCAUGGGUACAGAGGGAGUUCAGGGGAGAGGCUCAGCAGGGAAAUUAUCGAUGUAAAAAAAAGACCUUACAUUUAUUAGAGAAACAAAGUUUGAAAGACCUCCUCCAAGCAGAGGACCGUACACCAGGAACUCCAGAUUUCUAAUCUCAAAUCCGUGGUCUGAGCAAGUCAAUGCUCUGUGCCUUAGUUUCCCCCAAGCAAGCCUUAAUUCCCCUCUCACAGGUGUGCUAGGACUAGGCAACAUGCAGAGCUCUGGGGGCAGGAAGUGCUGUCGAAGUGCGAAACAGUCUUUAUUUAGGAGAAUACGGAAGAAGUUAGGGCCACUCUUGGAUAAAGAACAAAUUUCAUGGAAAAAUAAACAUAGUAGCCACCUACUUUUCAGCUUGGGUUUUUAUUAGAGGGUGACCAAGAAAAUGAGUUGAACAGCUGUGCUAGAAAAAUUGCAAAAUCCUGGGGAAAUGAAAUCUGUUGAAAGAGGAACAUGUAUACUUUAGGUCUACAUACUAAUAUAAUCCCAUGUGAGAGCUAGGAAUUAAAGGAAUUACUGCAAUUUUAUGGUCGCUUCAGACAGUGAUUCUGCCAUUGUAUAAUGCACAAAAUUGUAGUACCUGCCCCAAAAGAGCUUAUUAAACAAUGAACUUGCCACAUUUAUGUAUUACAUUCAAGUUUUCCAGGUGAACAGGGAAAUGUCCCUAAUAACCCACAAUGGACAAGUGUAGCAGGGAGUUUUCAAAAAGGAAGUCCUACAGCAUUGUAUGCCAACUACCUGCAGUCUGUCACAGGUUGAGUUAUGCCCUUUAGAGGGUUCAGAUUUCAGCUCUCAGCUGUGCUUGGUCCCAGGCUGAGACCCAGGUCUUUUGGGGGAGAUAUGAAGUCACCUGUCUUCUAUAGGGGGAAGAGCUGGUAGGAACAGAAUAAGAUGAAAGAUUGGCUGUGGUUCCUUUCUGCCAGAGAACCAGUGAAAGAACCCUGGAUGGAAGAAGCUAGGAAAGGGCCAGAGGAGGCCAGGAGCUAAGUUAGAGAAGUACUCUGGGGAGCCAGAGAAGAGAGCCUCAAGAGCAAUAGCCACCACAGAAAUGGCUCUGGGAAACCAUUGAGAAGGGCAGCCUUAGGUUUAGGGAAUAAUGUUGCCUGCAACUUGAGGGCAGAGUAAAAGGAGGGUCCAGACUUCUGGGUAGUAAUCGCUAGAGAGGUGGUAGUGGAAACCCAGGCACCAGGGCACCCAGGCCUGUGAGUUGCCUCCUGUCUCCAAGCUGUGAGAGUCUUGCCUGUGCCUGGCUGGGUGUCCGCUCUCUAACACCACCAGCCUUUCAACCACAAAGCGCUCUCCUCUGGGACAUACCAGCCCUUACGUUGCUUUGUAGGUUAACAAUUAAUGCCCCCCAAUCCCUGAGUCCUUUUGAAUCAUUCCUCUUUGAUAGCCAGCCCCUGAGUUGGGCUAAUUCCCAAUCCUUUGCCCCCCAAAGGUUCAGUGUACCCCAUUUUUAUCUUAAACCACCACUGCUGUAAACCACAUUGAACUUGUGAGCACUUAUUAUAAAAGUAGGUUUAGUCAAGACAGUGUGGUUACUGCUGGGCUGGUGUCGCGGAGAUAAGGGGCAGCCCCUAGGCAGUGGCUGGCGAGCAGGAAUCUGGGUAGUUGCAGGAGCCAAAAUCAGUAGCCCAGGGUCAGGGUCAGAGAUCGAAUUUCAGUAGUCACCAGGCUGGAGUUGGGAGUCAGGGUUGAAGUCAGUCUGGGAUCAGAGCAAAACAAGGUGAGGUCUGGAGCCACAGCAAGCCAGAAGUCUUAUGUGGUUGCCCAGAUGAUUUUCUGCAGCAUCUUCCAGGGUUAAAUAGUAAGCGGUGGGCUCAUCCGAGGCUGCAGGGUGCUGUCACUCUGGCCACUUUAGGCAUUGCGGGAAGUAACACCCAAUCUCCACAGGGCUCCUUUGAUGUGGCUACAUGUGGCCUUCCACUGGCAAUGUUGGGAGCAUUCACUGCCCCAAGCUGCACAGACCUGGGUUCUAGUCCUGCAGCUUCUUAAAUUACACCCCCGUCAGGGGCACCUUUCCUCUGGUUUGGCACCAGGCCUGGUUUGUCUUAAUGAAACCAAGUCAGGGGCAUGGGUAGCAGGUUCCCAGGAGUGCACUUUGGGACCAUAGCCUUUCCAAUCUAGAGAUUGUACAGUCUCUCCCUUUGCAGUCUAGAGUGGAAGAUAGUUUGGACGUCUAUAUUCCUUAUGCCUUUGGACUUGGUCCAGUGGGAGCUGGGGAGACAGAACUGAUGGGGGAUUGGGAGGUGGCAGAUGGUGGGGGGGGCAGAGGCAUGCGGAAUUAAUUGCUGAGCAAGGAGAUGGGCAGAUGUGGUGGUGAGAGCUCCUGCAGUGGUGGCCAAAAUCACCUUAAUAAAUUUGAGGGAUUCAGCAGCACUAAUUGUCUCUGACGCUGAGGUGUGGUGUGGCAGGGGGAGUUCAAAAAUCCAGACAAACACUAUAUAUAUAUUUAAUCAGGAAAAACCUCAAGAUUUGGGAGCCAAUGUCAUGAUUUUUAAGGGUCUGACACGAUUUUUGAACCUUUGGGGUUGGCAAUACUGCAGUUAAAUGGUCGGUGGAUACGCAUUUCUGGCACUGAAUACGAACUCUUUGGUUAACAGCAGCAAACAUUUGCUAUCUAUGCCAUUAGUUAUCAAAGCCAGAUACCAACAGCAACUGUGUUCUCUACGGGCAUAGCCAGGAAAUGGGUCUCUGCCUGAUCCCUCUUUGAAUCUUGCUGAGUUCUUGGCCUCGGCAACAUCACGUGUCAGUGAGGUACACUUUGUGUGAACAAGUGCUUCCUUGAGUUUUGAGUUGUCCAUUUUUUAGUUCCCUCGAAUGUCUCCUUGCCCUUGUGUUUUGAGACCCAGGGAACAGAAGCUUUUGAUCUACCUUCUUUAGACCAUUUGUAUUUUAUAUACCAAUGUUAGUCUCCUUUCUAAGGUAAACAAUCCCAACCUUACAAUCUCUUCAUGUGAUAUUUUUGGUUUCUCUACUCAUGGCAGCUAAGAUUGCCACAGGAGGGAGAGGGAGUGUAUGAGCGUGAGUGAGAGAAAGAAAAAGAGAAGCAGGAAAAUGCAGAAGAGGAGCAGCUCCUGAAUGAGACCUUGAAGGAGCACCCAGUAAGGACCCCUGCCUCAUUCAGUGCAAAGGAUGGAGCGUGCUCACUGAAUGGAGUGCUACUGGGCAGCAGUUUCUUUUGACUGAUUGAGUCAGUGAUGGCUGGAUUGCUUACGGAGGCUGAGAGCUGUAAUGUAUGCACCAUAAUCUGAAAAUGUCCAUGGUCAUCAACAUUCGGAGGAACUCCAUUUUCUGUACUCAGACCCCUGCCUCAUUUGUUGAAGAUGAAGGAAGGUAUACAGGGGGAUUUCAGGAAGAGAAAGGAUGGUCUCAUGGUCAAGGCUGUUGAAUGAUACCCUGGAGAAUUGGAUUCUAAUCCUGCCUCUGCCACAAAGUUCCUAUGUGGUGCUGGAGCAGCCUGAGAAACCAAGGGCAUGUAUAAUAGAGAGAACGCACACAUUACAGCAUGUCCCAGCGACUAGCCAGAAAGGAUCAUACAAGAGUCUCUCUCGAUUUAUCUCACUCAGUGAAAUAAUUUCAUACUGAGGUUUUUCAGUUGGUGUGUCUGUAUAUUUCAAAAACACAUGGAACGCCCGCAGCGAUUAUUUUCCAGGACUUGGGGCUGGGAUUGAUACAGUUAAGACAUGCAAAGUAAAACAUUUUUAAAAGAAGAAAAUCCUUAAGUCCUCUCUGUUUGUGAAACCAGCGGUUUACCAGAACAAUAUUAAUUCAUUUUUUUCUGCUGUUGAAUAGUAAAAGGUCUGGGAUACCCUGGGAAAACAUAUUCCUAUGGUUUUGUUAAAGCCGAAUGCCUCACUAUCAGUGGGAAAGACAAAGAUCUAAGACCUCUUUGCCUACAGAAAACAACACAGGUUUUUAUGCAGGAAAAAUGAGGGAUUUAUUCUUUUCAUUUUUCCCUCUCUCUCCCUCCCCCCCUAAAAUAAGUUCAGGGUCAGUGUACAAUUUCUCCUUUUGUUUCUAUUCUAAUGCCCAUCCAUUUUGGGGUGCUUUUAUUCCCCAAAAGUCGGUCUGACUCUGAUAACAUUCUGUGCAUUUGAUUCUUUGUUGUAGAAAAAGCUUUGCAGUAUGUGUGUGGCUAAAAGCGCACAUAUGCAUCAAAUGUUAAUAGUCUUAAAAAGAAACCUUAGUUUAAGAAGAGUUAAAGGCUGAAAGUAGGUUUUACAAUGGAAUCCAAUUUGCAUCCCACCCAAAUAUUACACUUUCUAAACAAAAAUUCUACAAAUUAAUAAACACCAAAUGUUGCAAAGUCUGCAAAUGAACACUUGAGUUCCUCCUCCUCCCGUCCUUUGCACCUCCUGGCUUCUCCCUAUACCUUCAUGAACCCUGCAUCUCUCUGAGCUCCCUAAUACUUUGAACCCCUUUCCAUGCCCCUAUCUGUCUCUCUGGCCCGUGAUCCUAUCCAUGCCCCACUCUGAUCUCCCGAAUAUCUCUGUCCAUGCCUCCCUUCAUUAUUCCCAUGCCCUCCCAGUACCCCUCUCUCAUUUGCCUCCCUCCCCCCAGUUAGCUACACUCUACUCCUGGCCUGCUACCUCCAGCUCCACUCAGCAGUUACUGCAGCAAAGCCCAGAAAGUGAAGAGGAAGUCAGUUUCUAUUAAAUGCAGUGUUGUAGCCAUGUUUGUCCCAGAAUAUAUAAGAGAGAAGGUAGAUGAGAUAAUAUCUUUUGUUGGUCCAACUUCUGUUGGUAAGAGAGAGAAGCUUUCAAGCUCUUCUCCGGUUGGGGAAAUAGGCUACUUCACCUUGAAUGGUCCCUUGAAAUAUAUGUUAACUACUUAUGCUAAACAAUCUGUUCCAUCUUAUAUUUAGCUCUGAGUACCUUUCCCAGACGUGAAGAAGAGCUCUGUAAUUUUGGAGGAAUUAGUCCUUGAUUCUGCAAAGACUUAAGCCCUUGCUUUAUUUUAUGCACCUGAGUAGUCCCACUGAUGGCAAUGACACUAUUCAGGCUCAUGAAGGUAAGCAAAAUGCAAGUUGUUGGAGAACUGGGGCCUUCACGUGUGGCUGUUUAAAAAUGAGGCUUAAAGUGGGAAUCUAGCUUCAGCCUUACUAUUGCUAUACAUGCCAGCAUAUUAAAGCAAUCAUUUGAAUGUACAACUCAUCUAUGUGAUAAAAGGGUACCCAGGUCUGUAGUUUAAACGUUGGCAAAACUUUCAUUGAAGUCUUAGGAGUUUGUAUCUAAUCUGUGGAUCUGCUCGUUUAUGUUGCACCAAUCCCUGUGGUAUUCAGAUGUCAAGGAACGUCCCACGGCCACAGGAUUAAACAAAUAAAAUGUAUUUCUAAUCAAGCCCCUGUAAAACUGGGAAUUCAGUAGGACCCGGAAGGCAGUUAGCAAGUAGGCUGCUUUGUUUUACCACUAAAAAGCUAAUAGAAAAAUAUCCUAAGGAAAGCUGCUUGUGGCUGUGGUUUGUCAGGGAGGGAAACAGCAGCAACAGCGGUCAUCUGUUUAGCAUUUGAGCAUGAGCGGAAGCAGGAAAAGGAAUGGGCAAGCUAUUUUAAACUAAUCAGUUCUAUCAAUAACCUGAAGGUACUUUUAAAAGCUGCAGAGGUAACAGUAGCGCUUGACUCUUCCAGAAGGAAGUUUGCUUUUGUUUCAGAGCUGUCGUUGCUUUAAUUUGAUACCAAGACAUGUUUCCCCUGGAGUAUGAGGUAUCUUGGGCUUUAUCCAUUUGGUAAAGAACCAGCCUGCAUAAUUCCUAUGUAGUGAGGAGAUUUACUACUUAGGUCAACAUGCAUCUCCUGUGAGUCAAAUAAACACAAGGAGCAUUCAUUAGGCGUGCUUACUGAAUUUAGACUGCAUUCACACAACCUGAUAUGGUAGCCACUGGGGCCAUGCUAGUUCAACCAAGGUCGCAUAGGGCAACGGGGCAAGCAAAGAGGGCUUUUAUCAGCCACAGGCUGAACCAAUCAAUCAAUCCAGCUGAUCUCAAUACCCAAUCUAAUUGCAUGUGGCAGGAGGCUAACUUCAGGGAAUGUUUCUGAGUUUACACUAAUUCAAACAGUUAAGGUUGAAAAAAAAAGCUAGGCCUCUGUAAAAUAGAAAAAAGAAGAGUUUAAGAAAGUUAGAUCAGAGACACAUAUGUCAUUAUGAAAAUACAUUUGUAAUUUUAUAAUUUACCCUGUCUGUCACCCACACCCACACCCACACGUAUAGGUGUGAGAGAGUGUUAUAAAAACCAGGUUUUCGUCUAGGAAGUAGUAUCUACUCAUUAGAGUAGGGGGCGGUGAGACUCCUGGAUUCUGUGCCCAACUCUGCCACAGACUUCCUGUGUCACACCUGGGAAAUCACUCCGUCUCCUCCGACCUGUCUGCCCCUCUGUGAAAUGGAUUAAUACACAGUGGCCUGAAGUUGUGAAAGUAACUGUUGAUUUUCAUUUCCUUAGUUAAUGAGUACCCGGUUUCUGACAUCUCAACGGGGACUGAUUCUGAGAGACCGCCUGCUCAGCUCCGAAGCACCCCAGAUCAAUAACUGCUUGAAAAUUGUAGGGCAACAAUUAUAGAUUAGAAGAAAAAUAUUUUGCACAUUGAUUUGAGUCGGGUGAUAUCAGUGCAAAGGACUUUGUGGCCUGGUGAACCAAAUCUAGAGGUCGGUGGAGUCACAUGUGUUUUGACAUUAUGUCAUCAAUCUCUCUAUCGAGCUUUGGUCGUGAUUGGCGUAAUGGUAAUACCUAAUGCAUUUAUGUGUAUACAGAGCUUGGAGAUCCCAGGUUAAAAGCAGCGUUCACAGCCUUGCCAACACUCUCAGUUUCCACGCUAGUAGGGUUGCGAUUUUGGGUCAGGGCUGGAGACUAGCCUCCGGAUGAAAUGAAGUGCGGCAGCCCCACGUGCCUGCCUCCUGGGGAAGAGCAGCCAGUCAGGACCGGCCCAGCUCUCCCGCCUUCUCUCAGCAGCUGAGAGUAGUUUUUGAGCAGGAAAGAGGGAGAAGGAGCAGUGGAUAACCACUUUCACUGGAGGGGGGAAGAGAGAAUUGAAAGAUCCCAGCAGUCUCAGCUUCUCUGCUUUCUCCUCUCCCCUCCCUUUCUGUGCGCAAUGGAUAAGUCUGCUGUCUCCUCCUCUCCCCUUCCCCUUCCCAACCCCAUCCUCAUCCCUGCAACACCAGGCCCUGGACAAGAGAAGGGGAUACAUAACCCCUGGAGCUGCAGGAGCAACAGAGCUAGGGGCUGGGAUAGCUGCAUAAUUCAUCACUGGGUUGGGCGAGUGAUAGAUGCGGAGGGGUGGGAGGACACAGAUUUGAUUCAAUCAGAAGUUUGGGGAGAAGCUGGAAGCUCUGCACUCUUGGAUAGCCAGCGAAAACACUUGUAGCCAGGGGCCCAAAUCACCUUGCUCUGUAAAUCUGGGAGGGUGGGCAGCACUUACUGUCUCUCAUACACUGGGCUCAGGGGCGGGCAGCAGAAGUCAAAAAUCAAGAGGCAAACCAAACCCCACAAUUUGAUCUUUAAAAAAACCCUCUCAAUUUCUGGGUGAAUCCCAUGACUUGUGGGGCCUGACUCGUGAUUUGUGAACUUUGGGAGUUGGCAGUACUGCAUCUAGGGUCCAAGUAUUGCAUAGGGAAAGCAGACUAUCAGCAUCCAUUGUGUGGUUCUCAGAGACAUAUAUAAAGAGGAGAACAAUUUUCUUUGCGGAUCUUUUCCCCCAACACCUCAAGGUUUCAGCAGCAGUGAGGCAUUUCCCUAAACUCAUGACACAUUGGUGAAAACUCAGAACGUUGCAGGAAGUGGUACUGGUAAGUCAAUGGGCAGCAUUCUUCCCUUAGCAUCAUUAAACAAUUCGCCCGCAUGGUGUUAGGGGCCGCUGCGCUGCGUGAGGUGCUGUUCGAUGAGACCUAAAAGCGAGAUCCUGACCACUCAUGGUCACUUUACGUCCUUGGAGUCUUUUAAUAAAAUUAGAGGAUAUUAUCCUAUGAUGGCCUUGCUAAAUAAAAAUAGGAUAAUUACAUUCUAUCAAAAGCUCCUCUUCUGGUGUCCAUUGGCUAAGGUAUCAUUUACUCUCUAUUCUCAACUGUUGGGUAGUGUUGCUAUGUGCUAUUUAAAGGUUGCCCUCUUCCACGCCAGUGAAUGGCAGCUGUACUUCAGCAGAGGAUGAAGUGAAUCCUGUACAUAUAAUUUGCAAUCAGUUUGCAAAGUUUUCUGAAUGCUUUGGGAUCUAUAGCAAGAAAGGCUCUGUAUAAAUUUCAGUGAGUAUCAUUAGGUGUGUGUGUGUCUAUAAUGCUGAUGGAACACAAGCACCAUGAAUUACCUAGACCCUGCACAUUGCUACCAUGGGAACUACAUACUUUUUAAAGGAUCUGAUCCCUGCAAGUCUCAUUCAUGCUGAGUAGCACUUACUCAUGUGAAUUUUCCCAGAGUGGUAAAUGGCACUGCUUGCUCAGGAAAAUGCUGUUCAAUCUGAGUGAAAGUUGCAGAAUCGGAGUCCUUAGGCAUUAGCAGAACAGACUCAAAAAGGUGGGUAAAACCCACAUAACUUAUUGGCACAGAAAUUGUUUCUGCCCUGGGGUUGCUGUCACUGACUUUCCAUGCUGAAAAAUUGUGUGUGUGUGUGUGUGCAGUAAACCCAUUUUUACAAGUUUUAUUUUGCUAACAUCACAUGAGUUCUGGUCUUCCCAACGGUGAAUCUGAGAUACUUUUGUUCUUGUGUGCUGCAGAGGAAAAGGAUUUAAAGACCUAACAUAAAAAAGAGACUGCCUUUCUGUGGUUUGGGAGCAGCCGCUUGAUGUGAAAUAAUCUUGAAGAUGAGGUCCAACGUUUUCUUUUGAAGUAGGUUGACAAUGCAACAAGUUGCUGUUGUGGACGGAGACGAGAAAAGCAGGCAUAAAAGAAGAGACGGGACAUGGAGGCUAAGUGGGCAGUUGCCAUUUUGGAUCAGUUUGGCCCUUGGAGAUGUUCCAUGCAACGUGGGAGAAUGUGUGAAGACUGGUGUGGGCUUGGCUGGUGACUUGUCAAGACUGUCAGCGUUGGUGGAAUUGGGGAGCAAGAGAUGUGAAAAGAAACAAGCACAGAUAGGGGUAACUCCAUUAAAGUCAAUGGAGAGACACCAGUGUAAGUGAGGGCAAAGUCCGGCCCUGGGUGUCCUUGCAUGGCCUCUGAGGGCAUGUCUACAUGGCAGCUGGGAGAUGUGAUUCCUCGCGCUGUUAGAUCUACAUGAGCUGGCACACUAGCCAUCUGUGAGUACAAUCCUUCCUAACCCUGGGCACAUAUUCAGGCAGCUAGCCUGAGCUGCUCCCACCACACUGCUGCUUGGGCAGUUGUGCUCUUGGAGCUUGGGGAAGCAAAUUUUUUGCUUGGGGCGGCAAAAAACCCUAGAGCCGGCCCUGAGCACAAGGCAUCAAACAAAGUCCCUCCCUGGCCUGAACAUGAGAUGCUACAGCCUGAGGUAAAGAGCCAGCCUCGGUAACUUGGUGCCAUUAGAGAAUCACAUCCUUUGAGGAUCAGGCACAGAGGAGGAUGUAUAACAUACACUGACCAGUGGGCUACGAGUGACUUUCAAGAUCCACAGCAGCCCUUGAUUUUCUAUUUCACGCCCUCACUUGCCUUUCAUGUCACUAAUUAUUGCUUUUCCUUUAAAAAAGACAAAACCCAAACCAGCCAAAAACACCCUGCAAGUGUUCUGUAUGUAUUUAAAUCACUGUCAGGUCUUUCCAUGGCACCAGAGUAGAAUACAUCCUCCUGUGGGGGGCAGUGAUAUCUCACUUGGGGCACAACUGUUUUCUUCCUGCUGGAAAAAGAACAUUUUGUCUGUGAAUAAAGAGGAAGCUCGUACUGUCAUGCAAUCUUAUAGCUCAUUAUUAUUUUGAACAAUUGUAUCUGUUGAACAGAAAGGGAUGGAAAAACAAUUUUUUUUGUAAUGACACAAUAUCAUUUCCCAUAGAUUUUUUUUUUUUUUUUACAGCUCCAGCCAUUUUGGUUAUAAAAAUCCAUGAUGUUGCAACCUUUUGUUGCCCUCAGCCAACUCUAAAAGUAGCAAAGGGCUGCACCUGAAAACCCAAGAUCCAAACACAUUCAGACUUUGGGGAAGUUUAGAUCCAGAUCUAAAUAUCAUGGCUCGGACUAAACUCUAUUAAAUGUGUUGGUUUAGUUAGUGGCAGGAAAGAAAGUAAUUGCCCCACCCUCUCUAUUUUGUUCCCAGCGAUUAGAGAGCCAUCCAGUGGGCCAUAAGAAAACACACAAUGGAGUGAGAUCAAAUCAAAACCAGAAGCAAUACAUCUUCCAUGUAUCCCUUUACUCCUUGUCUAAUAUUACCCUCCGUCUUGGUCCAUAAGUAAAUAUGUCAGUGCUUGGAAGGCAGAUAGAUUUGAAUGAGGAAACACAGUACUCACAGCCUAACGAGGGUAACUCUUGCAGAACUGUGAGAAAUGAACGCUCAGUUGGUUUUUACUGGUGAUCACUGAAAGUAAAUUUCUUCUUGGUUAAACUGACCAAAAAGAAUACUCAAACUGAACAUCAGAGGGCUCGUAUGUUUUUCAAGGCAGAGUUGUUUUCCAGAAUCUCAGUCUCUGAAUUUUCAUACAUGUUGGUCAGAAGUGAAAUCCUGCCUUAACCAAAGUCAAUGGGAAUUUUGUCGUUCUCUUUGUGGGGAGGGACAGGAUUUACCAAUCCAGAUCUUGAGAGGUGCUGUGAGAGCCUUCCAUCACGAGUUGCAUUUGUUCUGCCCAUUCAGGAUUUAGUCCAUAGAUAGUAGGGUCAAAACAAUUAUUUAGAUCACCCAGCCGAAACCCCAGCAUACUGCAGGAUGACUUAUUAUUCUAUUCCUUUUAAUCAGGGCCGGAUUACAGUUAUGAGGGGCCUAGGCUAAUGGGAGGGAAGGGCCUAAGUAUGAAUUACAUAUUGCAAAAAAUUAUGAAGUCGUCAAAUAUUUAUCUACAUACAUAUUUACAUAUUAUUUAUUUAUAUAAAAUUAACACAUGUAUUCUAUUCUCACUAAACUCAAUUCUUCAAACAAUUUCCUGCCCCCGAGCUUUAGCUGUGGUAAAGUCAUGAAUGAUGUCAUCGUAAUUCAAAGACCUGACAAUUUCAUUCUCAGUGCUCAAGAGGAACAAAGCACUGAGAUGCUCUGAGUCAUGGUGGAUCAGAGGACAUUUCUGAUCCUUAUUAGAAGAGAGAAGGAACCUUCUCCACUACAGUUAGUGAUCAUAAUACAGCCAUAAUGCAGUUUCAACAUUCGGGAAACAUUCUAUCACAUUGGAUUCAGUGAUAACUCGGUACAUCCAAAUAGAUUUGCUUUUGUCAUCUUUUCUCUUUGCAUCUGAGAGUGAUGUGAAUUCAACAAACUGAAGAAAUUCUUUAGUAAAAUCUACUGGGAGAUCAUCUGGGUACUUCUGAAACAGACAUCUGAUACCUUUGCUGACUUCAGAAUUUGAAAUGUUGGGCAAAAAAUUUGUUAGUACACGAAAGGGUCUGUCAAUAUUUUCAUAAGUCCCGAUCCGAUGUUCUAAUGAACUCUUCAGUUUGCUGAUGAUUGUGAUGAAGAUAUUAAUGCUGAAGGCCUCCUUGUUACUGAAUGUGUGGGCAGUUGCAUUGUUGCAUGUCUUCUGUCUUUUGCAGCAUUUGGCUGACUUAUACUCAUGGUUAGCUGUCCUUGCAACCCCCUGAAUUUCAUACUCAUCAAAACUAUCCCAUAUUCAUUGAAGAACAGUCCCAAGACUCCUCAUUAGGUAUAGACCGGUGGAAAGGUCAAUUUGAGCACUUUGCAAGCUUAGACUGCACCUGCUGAAUGGCUGAAGUAUAUCAUUUCAGACUUCAUACAAAAUACCAGUUUCCAAAGUGCGCAUUGCAUCACUCAGGAUCUUCGCAUCUUUUCUUGUUGCUAAUUUUUGAGAUUCAUCAUCCUUGAUGCUCUCUAGCACUUCAAGGAUGUUGGGGUAUCCCAGAACAACUGCAUUCACACCUUCAGUGUUGGCACUCCACCACGUCCCUGAUAGUGGUAUGGGCACUGGACAUCUCUUUGGUAGUGAAUCUCUAAGAAUCAUCCAACAACUGAUUGAUGCAGAGAAAAAAUUGUACAAUUCUUGGACAAAUCCAAAAAAAGAAACUGUUUCAACACAACAAUCCACAGCAGGCUGUGGUUGAGUGAGUGUGCAGCACAUGCUAUGUAAUCAAAUAAAGCAUUGUGCUCUUUUAUCUUUGUCUGUGUCCCUGAAUAUUUGCCAUUCAUAUUACUUGCAUAAUCAUAGCUUUGGCCAUGACAAAGUCUG